CGGUAUCUCUCUUUAAGCGAGUCAAAAACUUUUGAACCUAAUCUAUAAACAUAGGAACUGAGUUGUAAGAUUAUCGUGAGCAAGCCUACCUAGUUCUGCUAGUCAGUAGGAUAGUUCUGCUAGUCAGUAGGAAGCCUAAGAUAGUUUUCCGAGGUUCCCACCUGAACCAAGUGGUUCUUAAGGUGCUAGGAUUCACUGGAGAGGGAUACCAU
rnacentral:other from 1 species